AGACCUACGGGAGGCAGCAGUAGGGAAUCUUCCACAAUGGACGAAAGUCUGAUGGAGCAACGCCGCGUGAGUGAAGAAGGGUUUCGGCUCGUAAAGCUCUGUUGGUAGUGAAGAAAGAUAGAGGGAGUAACUGGCCUUUAUUUGACGGUAAUUACUUAGAAAGGAACGGCUAAAUAAGGGCCAGGAGCCGCGGUAAUACGUAGGUGGCAAGCGUUGUCCGGAUUUAUUGGGCGGAAAGCGAGGGCAGGGGGGUUAAUAA
rnacentral:rRNA from 1 species